rnacentral:SRP_RNA from 1 species
GCUGGGUAUAGUGGUGAAUGCCUAUAAUUUCAGAUUCUAGGGAAGCAGAGGCUAGAAGGUCUCUCAAACUUAGUAGUUUUAAGCUGUAGAAAGCUAUGCUUAUCGUGUGACCACUCUAAUAUCAGCAUCAAAAUGGUGAGCCCAGGUUGCCCAGAUUGGGGCAAACUGAUCUAGGUCAGAAAUGAAGUAGGUCAAAGUUUCUGUGUUUAGCUGUAGGGGAAUCAACUCCCCGAGAAGCACCUGUACUUUUAGCAUGGGUGAGAUGGGGAGACCUAGUCUUUU